UUGAGUUGCACGCUCUAGACCCGAAGCGGAGUGAUCUAGCCAUGGGCAGGUUGAAGCGGCUGUAAGAGGUCGUGGAGGACCGAACCCACCAGGGUUGAAAACCUGGGGGAUGACCUGUGGUUAGGGGUGAAAGGCCAAUCAAACUCCGUGAUAGCUGGUUCUCCCCGAAAUGCAUUUAGGUGCAGCGUCGUGUGUUUCUUGCCGGAGGUAGAGCACUGGAUAGGCGAUGGGCCCUACCGGGUUACUGACCUUAGCCAAACUCCGAAUGCCGGUAAGUGAGAGCGCGGCAGUGAGACUGUGGGGGAUAAGCUCCAUGGUCGAGAGGGAAACAGCCCAGAGCAUCGACUAAGGCCCCUAAGCGUACGCUAAGUGGGAAAGGAUGUGGAGUCGCAGAGACAACCAGGAGGUUGGCUUAGAAGCAGCCACCCUUGAAAGAGUGCGUAAUAGCUCACUGGUCUAGUGAUUCCGCGCCGACAAUGUAGCGGGGCUCAAGCGUACCGCCGAAGUCGUGUCAUUGCAGCA
rnacentral:rRNA from 2 species